CAAAUAUAUUAAAGUUUAUGAUGGAUACCUAGGCAUUUAGAGUCGAUGAAGGGCGUGGAUACCAACGAAAUGCUUCGGUUAGUUGGAAACAAACUUUGAUCCGAAGAUUCCCGAAUAGGAAAACCUAUAUAACUACUUAGUAAAUUCAUAAUUAAGUAAGAGACAACCCGCUGAAUUGAAACAUCUUAGUAAGCGGAGGAAAAGAAAGCAAACGCGAUUUCCUUAGUAGCGGCGAGCGAAACGGAAAUAGUCUAAUCAUUAAAAAAAAAUAUUAAACGAAGCAGCUGAAUCCUGCACCAUAGAUGGUGAAAGUCCAGUAGUUAAAAAUAUAAAAAAUGAUUAUAAAGUAGCAUGGAACACGUGAAAUUCCGUGUGAAUAUACGAGGACCACCUCGUAAGACUAAAUACUCCUAAAUGACCGAUAGUGAAACAGUACCGUGAGGGAAAGGUGAAAAAGAACCCCUGUAGGGGAGUGAAAAAGAACAUGAAAUCGUAAACUGACAAUCAGUGGGAGCUAAAGUGACCGCGUGCCUGUUGAAGAAUGAGCCGGCGACUUAUAGGUAGUGGCUUGGUUAAAAUAACUUUUUGGAGCCAAAGCGAAAGCAAGUCUGAUAAGGGCAUAUGUCACUAUUUAUAGACCCGAACCCGAGUGAUCUAACCAUGGCCAGGAUGAAUCUUGGGUAACACCAAGUGGAAGACCGAACCGACUGAUGUUGAAAAAUCAGCGGAUGAGCUGUGGUUAGGGGUGAAAUUCCAGUCGAACUCGGAGCUAGCUGGAUCUCCUCGAAAUGUGUUGAGGCGCAGCGGUUGAUGAUGGGCUAUUUAGGGGUAAAGCACUGUUUCGGUGCGGGCUGCGAAAGCGGUACCAAAUCGUGGCAAACUAAGAAUACUAAAUAUGCUUUCCAUCAACCAGUAAGACAGUGGGGGAUAAGCUUCAUUGUCAAAAGGGAAACAGCCCAGAUCACCAGUUAAGGCCCCAAAGUGAUAGCUAAGUGAUAAAGGAAGUAAAAAGGCAAAGACAACCAGAAGGUUUGCUUAGAAGCAGCCAUCCUUGAAAGAGUGCGUAAUAGCUCACUGGUAGAGCCUUUUUGCGCCGAAAAUGAACGGGGCUAAGUUAUCCGCCGAAACUGUGGGUUACAGUUUUAACUGUUACGGUAGAGGAGCGUUCCGUUAUAGGGUGAAGUUAAGAUGUGAAUUUUAAUGGACGAAACGGAAGUGAGAAUGUCGGCUUGAGUAACGAAAACAUUGGUGAGAAUCCAAUGCCCCGAAAACCUAAGGGUUCCUUCACAAGGUUCGUCCAUGGAGGGUUAGUCAGGACCUAAGGCGAGAUCGAAAGGUGUAGUCGAUGGAAAACAGGUUAAUAUUCCUGUACUUGAUUUAAUUUGGUAAAGAGGGACGGAGAAGGCGGUAACUAGCUAGAUAUUGGUAUUCUAGUAGAAGUAUUGAAUUCUUAGAAGAAUGAAAAAAAACUUUCUUUAGAAAACAUACGAUCUAACUGAUAUUCUAUACUAUAGGAUAACGGUUUAGUUUUAGUCAUACUUCCAAGAAAAGCUUUUAUUAUCGUUAAAUUAAAUCAACCUGUACCCUAAACUGACACAAGUAGGUAGGUAGAGAAUACUAAGGGGCGCGAGAUAACUCUCUCUAAGGAACUCGGCAAAAUGGCCCCGUAACUUCGGGAGAAGGGGUGCCUACAUAUGUAGGCCGCAGUGACCAGGCCCAGGCGACUGUUUAUCAAAAACACAGGUCUCCGCAAAGUCGUAAGACAAUGUAUGGGGGCUGACGUCUGCCCAGUGCCGGAAGGUAAAAGAAGUUGGUUAUUCUUCGGAAAAAGCUGACGACUGAAGCCCCGGUGAACGGCGGCUGUAACUCUGACAGUCCUAAGGUAGCGAAAUUCCUUGUCGAGUAAGUUUCGACCCGCACGAAAGACGUAACGAUCUGGGCACUGUCUCGGAGAGAGACUCGGUGAAAUAGAAAUGUCUGUGAAGAUGCGGACUACUUAUACCAGGACAGAAAGACCCUAUGAAGCUUGACUGUAAUUUGGAAUUGGGUUCGGGCUUUUUUUGCGCAGUCUAGGUGGGAGGCGUUGAUAUUAAGUUUUCGGGCUUAAUGGAGCCAUCAGUGAGAGACCACUCUAAAAGAGCUAGAAUUCUAAUAGGAUUCCUUGAAUCAGGAUCCUUGACAGUUUCAGAUGGACAGUUUGACUGGGGCGGUGACCUCCCAAAAGGUAACGGAGGUGUGCAAAGGUUCCCUCAAGCUGGACGGAAAUCAGCUGUAGAGUGCAAAGGUAUAAGGGAGCUUGACUGCAAGACCAACAAGUCGAGCAGAGGCGAAAGCCGGCCUUAGUGAUCCGACGGUUCCGAGUGGAAGGGCCGUCGCUCAACGGAUAAAAGUUACUCUAGGGAUAACAGGCUGAUCUCCCCCAAGAGUUCACAUCGACGGGGAGGUUUGGCACCUCGAUGUCGUUUCAUCGCAACCUGGGGCUGGAGUAGGUCCCAAGGGUUGGGCUGUUCGCCCAUAAAAGCGGUACGUGAGAUGGGUUCAGAACGUCGCGAGACAGUUCGGUCCAUAUCCGGUAUAAGCGUAAGAGCAUUGAGAGGAUCUCAACAUUGUACGAGAGGACCCGAAGGGACGUACCGAUGGUGUACCAGUUCUUAUGCCAAUAGGAAACGCUGGGUAGCUAUGUACGGAGUGGAUAAUCGCUGAAAGCAUUUAAGUGAGAAGCCCACCUCAAGAUGAAUGCUCUCUAUUAGAUCGCGGCAAGACAAGCCGAUAGAUUGGCAUCAAGUGUAAGAUUAGUAAUAAUUUCAGCUGAGAUGUACAAAGGAUCGAUUGAUUUUGACCUU
rnacentral:rRNA from 1 species